CCGGAGUGGACGCAUCACUGGUGUUCGGGUUGUCAUGCCAAUGGCACUGCCCGGUAGCUAAAUGCGGAAGAGAUAAGUGCUGAAAGCAUCUAAGCACGAAACUUGCCCCGAGAUGAGUUCUCCCUGAGACCUUGAGUCUCCUGAAGGAACGUUGAAGACGACGACGUUGAUAGGUCGGGUGUGUAAGCGCAGCGAUGCGUUGAGCUAACCGAUACUAAUGAACCGUGAGGCUUAACCUUACAACGCCGAAGCUGUU
rnacentral:rRNA from 1 species